rnacentral:tRNA from 1 species
GAGGGUAUAGCUCAGUGGUAGAGUGCAUGCUUGGCACGCAUGAGGUUUUGCGUUCAAUCCCCAGUGCCUCCA